GCGCACUUAGAUGGAAUCUAUCUCCCUUGGUAGAUAGGGGUGUUAGUCCUAUAUGAUUUAUGAGACUGAGUUUAGAAGACCUUGGCCAGGGCAGAAUAAAUAGCGGAAAAGGGUUUCCGAUAUUAGAAACUCGAGUCGAAUAAAUUUAACAUAUGACAGACGAUGGGGUUUGACGAGUUAUUCCAUAACCUCCGUCUUAUCGGGACUCACGAUAGAAGGAUUGUAUCACACAGUAACUGCACCAAGAGGUUCAGUAUUCCAUUCUACUGGAAUGCCACUACAUGCUGCUAGGCGUCACUGGUGGAUUGUGAGAUUCAUGAGAAUUAUCUAGAUGAUCGAUAAUUCUCAUUGAGCUGAGUUGGAAUUGUUCCGAUCCACUGAAAGGAGUUUCAGUGAUAUUGUUGAUAGUGAUCAAAAUAUACUCACUACCAGAUAGAAUAGAACCUAUGGGGUCACACACAUAAGAGGUGUGAUUGAUCGGAUAGCUAGAUCGCGAUUAUUGAAUUGCCGGAGGACCUAAUUGUCAAUAUGUUGAUAAUUGGACUAAUUUGUAAUUAUUACAAAUUAGUGGUAUUAAAGUGUAAAUGUUAUAAGAGAGGACUUACUAAUAGUUAGAGGACUUAUGUGCAAAUGUUGCAUUAUUAAUUUGAUAAGAUCAAAUUAAUAUAAAAUUCAAGUCGAAUCAAAUUAGGAUUUGAUCAAUCUAACCAAUUAAGGAAAGGAUAAAUUUAAAUUUAGAUUUAUA
rnacentral:lncRNA from 1 species